GACGAACGCUGGCGGCGUGCUUAACACAUGCAAGUCGAACGGAAAGGCCCUGCUUUUGUGGGGUGCUCGAGUGGCGAACGGGUGAGUAACACGUGAGUAACCUGCCCUUGACUUUGGGAUAACUUCAGGAAACUGGGGCUAAUACCGGAUAGGAGCUCCUGCUGCAUGGUGGGGGUUGGAAAGUUUCGGCGGUUGGGGAUGGACUCGCGGCUUAUCAGCUUGUUGGUGGGGUAGUGGCUUACCAAGGCUUUGACGGGUAGCCGGCCUGAGAGGGUGACCGGCCACAUGGGGACUGAGAUACGGCCCAGACUCCUACGGGAGGCAGCAGGGGGGAAUAUUGCACAAUGGGCGGAAGCCUGAGGCAGCAACGCCGCGUGCGGGAUGACGGCUUUCGGGUUGUAAACCGCUUUCGCCUGUGACGAAGCGGGAGUGACGGUAAUGGGUAAAGAAGCACCGGCUAACUACGUG
rnacentral:rRNA from 1 species